AGUUUUAACAGGAAGAUGCACUCUGAAUGCCAAUUUAGAAAUUACCUGGCGCCUUGAGCAGGUGGGUAGGCAAUGGAUGCCAUAACCAUCUUGGGACCCACAAGAGAAGGGAUAGCAGAAGGUCCACACUUCCCAACACAAGAGCUCUGCCUGCCGUUUGCCUGACAGAAGAUUCCAUUAUUCUUAAACAAGAUGGAAGGCUUGGGCACUGACCACCUCUUGAAACUGGAGAAAAUGGGCUUCUCUAAGGAAGAAAAUUGGGAAGAAUUCCUCUUUGGCCACCAGAAUGGAUUUGAGAAAGAAAAGGAUGCAGAUUUUGGCAGGAAAAUUGCACAGCCUCUGAGCCCAAGCUAAGCCAUCGUAUCCCCUGUGACCU